rnacentral:rRNA from 1 species
GAUGAACGCUGGCGGCGUGCCUAAUACAUGCAAGUCGAGCGAACGGACGAGAAGCUUGCUUCUCUGAUGUUAGCGGCGGACGGGUGAGUAACACGUGGAUAACCUACCUAUAAGACUGGGAUAACUUCGGGAAACCGGAGCUAAUACCGGAUAAUAUUUUGAACCGCAUGGUUCAAAAGUGAAAGACGGUCUUGCUGUCACUUAUAGAUGGAUCCGCGCUGCAUUAGCUAGUUGGUAAGGUAACGGCUUACCAAGGCAACGAUGCAUAGCCGACCUGAGAGGGUGAUCGGCCACACUGGAACUGAGACACGGUCCAGACUCCUACGGGAGGCAGCAGUAGGGAAUCUUCCGCAAUGGGCGAAAGCCUGACGGAGCAACGCCGCGUGAGGGAUGAAGGUCUUCGGAUCGUAAAACUCUGUUAUUAGGAAAGAACAUAUGUGUAAGUAACUGUUCACAUCUUGACGGUACCUAAUCAGAAAGCCACGGCUAACUACGUG